GGCCCCAUCGUCCAUGGGUUAGGAUCGGCGGCUUUCAACCGCCGGAAGCGGAGUUCAAGUCUCGCUGGGGCUA
rnacentral:tRNA from 1 species